rnacentral:rRNA from 1 species
GAGUUUGAUCCUGGCUCAGGACGAACGCUGGCGGCGUGCUUAACACAUGCAAGUCGAACGGACCCUGUGGGGCUUGCUCUGCAGGGUUAGUGGCGAACGGGUGCGUAACACGUGAGGAAUCUGUCCUUCGGCGGGGAGUAGCCGGCCCAACGGCCGGGUAAUACCGCGUACGCUCGUUCCGGGGCAUCCCGGGACGCGGAAAGCCGCAAGGCGGCCGAUGGAGGAUCUCGCGGCCUAUCA